CCAAAAUAACUUAAUAGUAUUUCCUUAUUAGCAGUGUUGUAAUCCCUAAAUACCCUUGGUGUCUUUUUGCAGCUGCAAGUCUGCAAGAAUCUCUUCGCAGUUGAAUACAAUGAUCAAAUUAGGAGAGAAAUAUACAAGAAAUGUCUCGACAAGAACGGCCUAAACCAUCUUGAUGACGUGGACCCUGAGUCUCUCUUCGGUCCAACAGACUCGCAGGCUCUGGCGCUCUUUGGUUCCGAGGAGAACCAUCUAGCAGUGAAACAGUGCGUCCUGCAAGAGCAUGGGGAGUCAAGGCCUGGUGGCACAGUCGACCCACAGCCAUUCUUGGACAGGGUAAUUCUCGCCCUUAACGGCACCCGCCCUGACAUCCUCGACCGCCUUAUUCCUGCUGCAAAGUCCUGCUCGACUGAAAGCAUUAAAGAGUUUGAGAUCUGCAUCUUCUAUGUCUGCUUCGAGGGGCAAUUCACACCACCUGAGCCUACAACUGUUGGUCCUGAGGUGUAAUGAUGUGAAAUAUUUCCACACAGUGAAUUCCUCAUGCCACAACAAUGUGAAUUAAUCAGAUAAGGAUUAUAAAAGACUUUGAAUUACUGUUUUCUCUAUAUUUUUCCUGAAGAUCGGUUCUUAAAUAGGAAAUCUGUGUACACAAUACAGACAUUA